rnacentral:tRNA from 1 species
GCACUCGUAGCUCAGCUGGAUAGAGCAUCGGACUACGAAUCCGGGGGUCGGAAGUUCGAAUCUUCCCGAGUGCACCA